GGCUAGAUGUGGAAACAGGAAGAGAACUAGAACUGGAAGUAAGGCAUUGAAGAUGUGACUGAAUUGCUGCAAUCUCAUGAUCAAAUUUGAAUGGAUGAGGAGUUGCUUUUUAGGGAUGAGCAAAGAAAGUGGCUUCUCGAGAUGGAAUCUACUGGUUGCUCCUUGAGGGCAGGACAGUUCUUAUGGCUUUAUCCGUUGCCUAAGCACAGAGAGGUCUGCGAGGUCAAAACUAUUGUCAUGAUAGCAAGAUGCCUGUCUUUUUCAUUUAUUCUCACAGUGUGCAGAGGCUACAUGAUGUGUGAUGACAUCCUCAUUGAUGUUAAUGAAUGGUGCUAUACUUGAAUUUUCUAAGGUGUCAUUAGAUGAGGUCUUGCUGUGUUGCCCAGGCUAUUCACAGCUGCCAUCAUAGUGAACUACAGCCUGAAACUCCUGGGUUCAAGAGAUCCUUCUGCCUCAGCCUCCUGAGUAGCUGGAACUAUAGGCAUGCACCACCAAGCCUGGGCUUUUAAAAAAAUUUUUAAAAGAAUUUUGAGACAGGAUCUUGCCAUGUUGCUCAGGCUAUUCUUCAACUCCUAGCCCUGAGUGAUCUUGCUUUGGGACUCUCAAAAUGUUGAGUUAAUAGGCGUGAGCCACCAUACCCAGCCAAAAAUUUUUUUAGAGAUGGGAA
rnacentral:antisense_RNA from 1 species